ACACUGAUGGUGAAGUGGUUAUCAUGCUUGCCUUCCAUUGUAUGUAGGGUAACCUUAGCCAAUGUAAGCAAGCGGCAGGGGUUCGAUUCCCCUUCAGUGUA